AUUGAACGCUGGCGGCAGGCCUAACACAUGCAAGUCGAACGAGUGGCGGACGGGUGCGUAAUGUCUGGGAAACUGCCUGAUGGAGGGGGAUAACUACUGGAAACGGUAGCUAAUACCGCAUACCAUCAGAUGUGCCCAGAUGGGAUUAGCUUGUUGGUGGGGUAACGGCUCACCAAGGCGACGAUCCCUAGCUGGUCUGAGAGGAUGACCAGCCACAAUGGAAAGGAGACACGGUCCAUACGCCUAGGGGAGGCAGCAGGGGGGAAUAUUGCACAAUGGGCGCAAGUCGUAUUCAGCGAUGCCGCGUGUAUGAAGAAGGCCUUCGGGUUGUAAAGUACUUUCAGCGGGGAGUCGUUACCCGCAGAAGAAGCACCGGCUAACUCCGUGCCAGCAGCCGCGGUAAUAC
rnacentral:rRNA from 1 species